rnacentral:tRNA from 1 species
GGUCAGGUAGCUCAGUUGGUAGAGCAGUGGACUGAAAAUCCACGUGUCGGGGGUUCAACUCCCUCUCUGACCACGA